rnacentral:lncRNA from 1 species
UUUGUUGUGAAUUCCUUUCAACCUGUGGUUCCUGUUGGUCCCAUAGUUUUGUGCCGGCUAUUCACCAACCGAGCCAGAGUGGCCAAUCGCUCUCCACCUCCGCAUUCGGCAUGUUCUGCUUGUCAGUGUCAUCUUCUGGCUCUCCACCUCCGCAUUCGGCGUGUUCUGCUUGUCAGUGUCAUCUUCUGGCUCUCCACUCCUAUGUCAUCUGGUUCUCGUUGGCGGCGUGUACCCAACAUCUUCUGCUAGGCCAUACUUGUUCAACAUUGGUUGAUAUGAUUUACUGGACAAUGUGGACAUGCUCACCUCGACAGAUCUGAGCAAGAGAUUUUGUUCCUAAUCAUGCCCUUCAUCUUCAGCUCACACCAUAUGGAUUAGUGCUCUCUGACUGCUCCACGUGGAUUGAACUGGACGUAUAUGUGUGGCAUAUAUGUAAUUCUUGUGGUGGUCAGAAGUGUAGUUCUUGAUGCUACUAUGAGCUCUUAGAUCUUCCAUGGGGUCUCUUUCCUGAAACUCUGGAGAUUUUCAAUUGAUUGAGCUUGUUUCCAUACAGUAUAAGGUUUAUAUUAGUCGGGCCUUCUAGUUUUGUAUCCUCUGGCAGUAUUUGUUAACUGAAACUCUGCAUUCAUGAUUCAAACUUAUAGUAACCUAAUCCAAGAGAGUUGCAUUUCUGCGCAUUAUGCCAUUGUUCUUCCUGUUGUAGCUGAAACAAACUUUCCCAGUGGGCGCACCUCAUUGUUUCUAUCCUUAUUCUCUGUACUAGGCUUAUUUUUUAUUUAUCAGAUCACUUGAUGUUUCAGGUGGGAGAGUGUUUAAACAAACCAUCCUAGAGUAGUUGAACGGAAGUAAGCAAUAUUAGCAAAUGAGGACGAAUGACUGACAACACGACAGUAGAUUUUACUGAGCUGGUUGCCAGGAAGAUAAGACGGUGAUCAGAAGGGUGUAGAAAGAUGGAGCCUCUGCUCACACCAAAUGGAGUGAAGCUGUAAAACCCUAGGAGGAUUAUGGUAACGAAGCAGACGUGUUGGUGUGACUUGACUAGUCGUGGUUGGCUGAAAUAACAUUUUUUGUUGCUAUUACCAUUUUUCUGGCUCGAGAAUAUUGAUUCUUUCAGAGGCUAUACUGCUGAUCUGUAGUGCACCUGAAUGUUUCAUGCGAAAGGGGUGAACUCCACAUCUAGGGUGUGAACACACAAAGACCGUGGCUUCCACUUUUUUUAAAAAGAAUUAUAAGGCGUCCACAU